rnacentral:rRNA from 1 species
UACGUAGGGGGCAAGCGUUGUCCGGAAUUAUUGGGCGUAAAGAGCGUGUAGGCGGUCCGGUAAGUCAGCUGUGAAAAGUCCAGGGCUCAACCCUGGGAUGCCGGUCGAUACUGCCGGACUAGAGUUCGGAAGAGGCGAGUGGAAAUUCCCGGUGUAGCGGGUGAAAUGCGCAGAUAUCGGGGAGGAACACCAAUGGCGAAGGCAGCUCGCUGGGACGUUACUGACGCUGAGACGCGAAGGCCAGGGGGAGCGAACGGG